rnacentral:tRNA from 2 species
GCCCCUGUAGCUCAGAGGAUAGAGCACCAGCCUCCGGAGCUGGGAGCGAGCGUUCGAGUCGCUCCAGGGGCG